GUCAAAUGAUUAAUGGCAUCAUAUGAGGA
rnacentral:sRNA from 1 species